AAAAAAAUAUUUCCUUUGCUCUUGUAGGAAGAAGUGAAAGGCCAGCCUUAGAGCCACGUGUACUCCCAGAGGGACCUUGCGCCAGGAUAGAAAUGCUUCUCCAACAGGUGACCAUUUGAAGGAAUGUGUGAAGAAGAGCACUUCUGAGGGCCAAGACUCCUUGUCUCUCAAGGCUGUAGUAAUCUCCAGUUUUCCAAGCCAAAGUCUGGGAGAUUAUUCUUCAAGUCAAGAAUUUUGCAAAAUAUGAGCCUGUGAAGCCUCUCAAAAGAUGGGCUUUUCACUCCAUUACAGAAUGAAAACAAAUUUGAGAGCUUAUGAACUGGAAUUGCUCAUCUCCAGAUAGCAGUACAUGAUGAGCAUUUCCCUUACACAAAAAAAACAGAUAAAUACUCCAGAAUACUGCCAUAGCAAUCCCAAGUAGACCCGUAAAACCAAUGUACAGUGGAUGUGUUGGAGCAGAACGGUAACAAACUGCAGUAGUUUAAGGGAAGCAUCUGUGUGCGUGGCUGUGUGGAGUACAGAUCCAGUCGGUGUGUCACACACAAGCAGCACCUCUCGUUGGAGCCACGUCUCUGUAAAGCAAUAGUAAAGAGCUGAGCUUGUUGAAGCAUGGGAUGUAAGAACAUCUGCCCUUCAAAAUGACAGUAAUGCAUCAGGUAAAUGGAAGUGAGCUUGAGCCGCAUGCUGCAUCUGACAUAAUUAAAGGUGAUGGAAAAGUACUGCUGUUGUAAUGGGGAGAUAUGGUUUAAUAUAUCUAUCACAAAGAAUGCCUUUGCAAGAAGAGUGGAGCAGGAAAUAAAGAUGCACCAGAUUUGUAACAGCAA